GCAUAUCUAUGAGCGGAGGAAAAGAAACCAACAGGGAUUGCCUUAGUAGCGGCGAGCGAAGCGGCAACAGCUCAAAUUUGAAAUCUGGCUACUUUGUAGUCCGAGUUGUAAUUUGCAGAGGAUGCUUUUGGUGAGGUGCCUUCCGAGUUCCCUGGAACGGGACGCCAGAGAGGGUGAGAGCCCCGUACGGUUGGACACCAAACCUUUGUAUAGCUCCUUCAACGAGUCGAGUAGUUUGGGAAUGCUGCUCUAAAUGGGAGGUAUAUCUCUUCUAAAGCUAAAUACCGGCUAGAGACCGAUAGCGCACAAGUAGAGUGAUCGAAAGAUGAAAAGCACUUUGAAAAGAGAGUUAAACAGCACGUGAAAUUGUUGAAAGGGAAGCGCCUAUGACCAGACUUGUUUCUGUCAGUUUUGCUUGUUUUCGGACUUGUUUACUCUGUCAGUACAGGCCAACAUCAGUUUGUUGUUUGGGAGAAAGGCUUAGGGAAUGUGGCUCCCUCGGGAGUGUUAUAGCCCUUUGCAUAAUACCAUUCGGCAGACUGAGGACCGCGCUUCGGCAAGGAUGUUGGCGUAAUGGUCAUCAGCGACCCGUCUUGAAACACGGACCAAGGAGUCAACCUUAUGUGCGAGUGUUUGGGUGUAAAACCCCAGCGCGUAAUGAACGUGAACGUAGGUGAGAGCUUCGGCGCAUCAUCGACCGAUUCUGAUGUUCUCGGAUGGAUUUGAGUAAGAGCAUAUAGGGUUGGACCCGAAAGAAGGUGAACUAUGCUUGUAUAGGGUGAAGCCAGAGGAAACUCUGGUGGAGGCUCGCAGCGGUUCUGACGUGCAAAUCGAUCGUCAAAUAUGAGCAUGGGGGCGAAAGACUAAUCGAACCUUCUAGUAGCUGGGUUCCAGCCGA
rnacentral:rRNA from 1 species